rnacentral:lncRNA from 1 species
AACAACUUUAAACACAAUAAAUAAUUUAAUAAAAUAGUAAACAGUAUGAGGCCGAACAAUACAUUUCUAGUUACCAACCGGACAAACAAUGCCUUUUAAUCAAUUUUUAAACUAUACUUCCUAUAUACAAUGUAAUCGCUUGUCAACAAUCGUACACAGACAAGAGAAGUUUUCUGGCUUUAAAUUUUUUUCUGAUUCAACAUUUUUUAACAAAAGACCCAGUCGGCGUUAAAUUUAAAACACAUAUUCCUUUUAAACCGAAAGGUAUAACUGUGCCAACAUUUAAAAUGGUUCUAUACCAUGCACAUUUAAAAAAGCAAAUAUUGGCAUUCCGUACAAAACUAUGUUAUUUUAAGUGUUCAGGUCGCCAUUUUUUAUGUUUUGAUUUAGCAUUAGAUCUUUAAUGUGUUUUAAUCAACCAAUUGUGUCAUGUUUGUUUAAGUUUCUAUGUCAUUUCCAUGUCAACUGAUUGUUUUUGAGUAAACUAUCGAGAUUUUACAUGUGUUUAUCUAUCAACAAUCAUAUGCUCUCAGGGAGAUUUAAAAAUAUUUUGACAAUGUUGUAUUUAUAGAUUUUUUUUAAUGUCAUUUGAAUCUUAUACAAAUGACUAAAACCACUUAUGACCUAUAAUUCAGAAGUAACAUAUUUGGAUACAUGUAUUUCUUUUUAUCAUUUUUGUUCAUAGAGCCAAAAAGCAGAGCCUUAUCUUCAGGAAAACAAAUUAAUCAACUUGAUUUUAACAGAAAAAUCCCCUAUUGAAAAUAUGCAUCUUAAAUUUUGUAAAUCAACUCUAGGAAUAAAAAAAAUGCAUUCAAUAUAUUAGGGAGCUACCAUUUAAUUUUUAUGGGGGGCUAGGAUGAAAUUUGAAAAAAAAUAGGCAGGAUGGACACUUGAAAAAAAAGUCAGGAUAAACUAAAAAAAAAAGGCAGGACCGAACAGAGUGAAAAAUAAAAAGGCAGGACAGAGAUUACAGCUAAAAAAAAAAUGCAGGACAAAAUUUUUCAUCCUAGCCCCCCCAUAAAAAUCAAAUGGUAGCUCCCUUAGCAAGAGUUGAAUUAGAGAGUUUGCAUAUAGGAUGUUUUAUUAAACACAAACCUUUUAUAUUUAGAUAGACUGUAUAAUAAUAAUAUUAAUCCAUUGAGAAAGGAAGCUUUUUUCUCUACCACAGUCUCUAGAUUUGACAGGAAUUUAUUCAUGAUAUACAUAUUCCAAAAAUAUUGUUGAAGAGACUAAUGUUGACCUUAAUAUUCUUUCUACUUGUAAGGACAUAAAAGAUGUAAACACGAACCAGUAUUGUCAAUCGAACCCGUAUUGUCAAUAGUAAAACCCAAUUAGUUAAUCAAUUUUUCAAAUGUUCUGAGUCAAAUUAAAAAAAAUAAUGAUAAAAUGAUAUUCACAAACAGUAUGCAUGUAUACUGUUGAAAAUCCACUUUCUGACAGAUGAAAAAGCAUGAAUCGUUAUUUUAUAAAAGAUCUAUAUUUUCAUUAUUUUGUAGAAAUGUGCAAGAUAAGAUGAUCGGUAAUGAAAAUAGCCUUAUUGACAUUCUCAAAUUUCGUUUCGCCAUUUUGAGCUGCGUCUGACUAGAAAAAAAUCCAUGACCUUUUGAUCAGAAGAACCGCGGAAGAACCGUGAGGUGCUUCGAAAGUUAGUUAAUCUCAAAUACGAAGGAAAAUGCUUCGAAAGUUAGUUAAUCUCAAAUACGAAGGAAAAACCUAAGUUCGUUUUCAAUAUUUAUGUGAUCGCUUUUUAUGCGAGUUUAUGUUAUAUUUCUGAAACCAAAUUUGAAAAAAUACCACUUUAUUUGUGGUUCAUAGCUAUAAAAAGUGCUACUAUUUAUUUUACAUUAUAUUGAAAUCCGACAUUCAAACAAAUCACAAACUUUUCUUAUACUGAGUAACAAAGUUUAGCAACAUAUAUUUUUAUUCAAAAUCUUAUAAUGAAAAAUUAUUAUUUUUAUAAUAUAUUUUCUGUCGAGUAAAAAU